rnacentral:rRNA from 1 species
AUUGAACGCUGGCGGCAGGCUUAACACAUGCAAGUCGAGCGGAGAUGAGGUGCUUGCACCUUAUCUUAGCGGCGGACGGGUGAGUAAUGCUUAGGAAUCUGCCUAUUAGUGGGGGACAACAUUCCGAAAGGAAUACUAAUACCGCAUACGUCCUACGGGAGAAAGCAGGGGAUCUUCGGACCUUGCGCUAAUAGAUGAGCCUAAGUCGGGUUAGCUAGUUGUUGGGGUAAAGGCCUACCAAGGCGACGAUCUGUAGCGGGUCUGAGAGGAGGAUCCGCCACACUGGGACUGAGACACGGCCCAGACUCCUACGGGAGGCAGCAGUGGGGAAUAUUGGACAAUGGGGGGAACCCUGAUCCAGCCAUGCCGCGUGUGUGAAGAAGGCCUUAUGGUUGUAAAGCACUUUAAGCGAGGAGGAGGCUACUGAGACUAAUACUCUUGGAUAGUGGACGUUACUCGCAGAAUAAGCACCGGCUAACUCUGUGCCAGCCGCCGCAGUAACAC